UAAUCAUCAUGCCCCUUAUGUCUUGGGCUUCACGCAUGCUACAAUGGCCGGUACAGUGGGCUGCGAUACCGUAAGGUGGAGCGAAUCCCAAAAAGCCGGUCCCAGUUCGGAUUGAGGUCUGCAACUCGACCUCAUGAAGUCGGAGUCGCUAGUAAUCGCAGAUCAGCAACGCUGCGGUGAAUACGUUCCCGGGUCUUGUACACACCGCCCGUCAAGUCAUGAAAGUCGGUAACACCUGAAGCCGGUGGCCUAACCCCUUGUGGGAGGGAGCUGUCGAAGGUGGGAUCGGUAAUUAGGACUAAGUCGUAACAAGGUAGCA
rnacentral:rRNA from 1 species